AUUGAACGCUGGCGGCAGGCCUAACACAUGCAAGUCGAACGGUAACAGGAAACAGCUUGCUGUUUCGCUGACGAGUGGCGGACGGGUGAGUAAUGUCUGGGAAACUGCCUGAUGGAGGGGGAUAACUACUGGAAACGGUAGCUAAUACCGCAUAACGUCGCAAGACCAAAGAGGGGGACCUUCGGGCCUCUUGCCAUCGGAUGUGCCCAGAUGGGAUUAGCUAGUAGGUGGGGUAACGGCUAACCUAGGCGACGAUCCCUAGCUGGUCUGAGAGGAUGACCAGCCACACUGGAACUGAGACACGGUCCAGACUCCUACGGGAGGCAGCAGUGGGGAAUAUUGCACAAUGGGCGCAAGCCUGAUGCAGCCAUGCCGCGUGUAUGAAGAAGGCCUUCGGGUUGUAAAGUACUUUCAGCGGGGAUGAAGGGAGUAAAGUUAAUACCUUUGCUCAUUGACGUUACCCGCAGAAGAAGCACCGGCUAACUCCGUG
rnacentral:rRNA from 1 species